UCAGUUUACAGUAAUGGCUUCGACAAUAAGAGAGGUCAAGAGUAGUGAUAUCGGUUCAUUUGGAGUUCUCUGGCGAUGUGAUAUAAUCACACGGAUUGUCGCAUGGAAUUUUGUCGUCUGAUCUGCUUCAACCAAAAUCUCAAAAUAAACGAACCACAAUAAUAUCUAUUAAGGUAUUAUUGGUUGCUCUGGGUUUUGUUGGUUGUUUCGCUAAUCCUAAAUUGCGGGUCUUAUUAUUGAUGAGUGCCAUUGUUCUGAAGGUGCUAUCAUAUGUGGUACAGUGACUACAAAGAUGGCACGAUGCUUUGGCUACUUGACAGUGGCUGCUUUUCAACCUAGGUGUUGUCAGGAGUCUUCCUGGCAGCUGCUCAGACCACUCCUGAGUCAAGUUGCUUGCAAUUGCUUGAGAGCGCCUCCUUCAGUAUUGUUGGGAUUGGCGAUGUUGCCUCAUUCCCAAACAAAUACAGUGUUAAUAUCCGUUACAUAAGAUCAGGCCCUUUACUGGCCCUUUAGUAUUAUUUAUUGUCACAGUUAUUUGUGAUUUUAUUUAUUAACCUGACUAAUUAAUAGGGGUGAUAAGGCUGUUCAAAAGUUUGGAGUUGAUGCAAAUAAAAAUUAACCUGGCCAUCUACAUAGUACAUUUAUUAACCUGGCCAUCUACAUAGUACAUUUAGCUAAUCUCUGUGAUCCAGAUAUAUCUCAUAGCAGAGGUUUCUUCCUGCAUGGGGCAAAUAAAAUUUGGUGCAUAUGGAAGGAAAUAAAUGAUAUAA